UGGGGAAUAUUGCACAAUGGACGGAAGUUUGAUGCAGCGACGCCGCGUGGAGGGUGUAGGCCUUCGAGUUGUGAACUCCUUUUUCUCGCGAAAAAGGCACAGUUUUGGCUGUGUUGAUGGUAGUGGGGGAAGAAGCGCCGGCUAACUACGUGCCAGCAGCCGCGGUAAUACGUAGGGCGCGAGCGUUGUCCGGAUUUAUUGGGCGUAAAGAGCUCGUAGGUGGUUCGUCGCGUCUGUCGUGAAAGCCAGCAGCUUAACUGUUGGUCUGCGGUGGGUACGGGCGGGCUUGAGUGCGGUAGGGGUGACUGGAAUUCCUGGUGUAGCGGUGGAAUGCGCAGAUAUCAGGAGGAACACCGAUGGCGAAGGCAGGUCACUGGGCCGUUACUGACACUGAGGAGCGAAAGCGUGGGGAGCGAACAGG
rnacentral:rRNA from 1 species